CACUCCUACGGGAGGCAGCAGUGGGGAAUAUUGGACAAUGGGCGCAAGCCUGAUCCAGCCAUGCCGCGUGAGUGAUGAAGGCCCUAGGGUUGUAAAGCUCUUUCACCGGAGAAGAUAAUGACGGUAUCCGGAGAAGAAGCCCCGGCUAACUUCGUGCCAGCAGCCGCGGUAAUACGAAGGGGGCUAGCGUUGUUCGGAAUUACUGGGCGUAAAGCGCACGUAGGCGGAUCGAUCAGUCAGGGGUGAAAUCCCAGGGCUCAACCCUGGAACUGCCUUUGAUACUGUCGAUCUGGAGUAUGGAAGAGGUGAGUGGAAUUCCGAGUGUAGAGGUGAAAUUCGUAGAUAUUCGGAGGAACACCAGUGGCGAAGGCGGCUCACUGGUCCAUUACUGACGCUGAGGUGCGAAAGCGUGGGGAGCAAACAGGAUUAGAAACCCUGGUAGUCCCAUGA
rnacentral:rRNA from 1 species